GAGAGAGUUAUGCACCUAAAGACGGGGAGGAAGGGCGGAAACUAGGGCAUGGAAGGAGGUUUGGAGGGAAAAAUGAAGAGAGGUAAGAGGCACUUCAUGUAUUCUGGGAAGAGAGGGGAGGGAGGGAGAUACGAAGGGAAGGGAAGGGUGCACGCAGUACGUUGUGUGGCAGGAAAGUAGGUAACUAGGGAAAGAUGGAAAGGAGGAGAGGGAGAGAAGGACGAGAAGAGGAUAGCAGUCGGAUGGGUAUGUUGUUACGUAAGGGAGGAGUGGAGGAGAGCACGAGGGGAACGAAUGGGGUUUAAAAGGGUAAGAGGAAAGUAGGGCACGUGAGGAGAGGGAAAGGGAGACGGUGUUCUUAUUAUUACUAUUAUUAUUAGAGAUGAAAGAAAAGAAGAAAGGAAGAAAAAAAAAAAGAGAAGAAAGAGCAAGUGAAGAGAGGGAGUGGGAGGGAAGGGAGAAAUGGAAACAUGGAAAAUCAGGCAAUAGAGAGCUUGCUGGCUUUUAACGAGGCUGCCUGCUUUUGUGGUUUAAUCCGAUCAUUAGGCACUUCAGUGACGUUCAGAGCAGAUCAUAGCACUUGGUGUACGUGCGUGCGAGAAUGUUCACUCCUGUCGCCGUAAUAUAACGGUCAAUGUCAUUUUUAAGAACGGGUCCAGGAAAAUUGUCCCAGGGGCGAAAAAUACUGAGAGAAAAAAUAAUGCCUGGCUUGGAUCUGUAGACCGUUAUUUCUAGUUCCGGGUUAGUUAGGAGGAAAAAAUGCUUACGUUAUUGUACUUAUUGAGGUACUUGAAGACCUGUAUCAAAUCCUAAGUUAUUGUACUUAUUGAGGUGCUUGAAGACCUGUAUCAAAUCCUACGUUAUUGUACUUAUUGAGGUACUUGAAGACCUGUAUCAAAUCCUACGUUAUUGUACUUAUUGAGGUACUUGAAGACCUGUAUCAAAUUCUACUUUAUUGUACUUAUUGAGGUACUUGAAGACCUGUAUCAAAUUCUAAGUUAUUGUACUUAUUGAGGUACUUGAAGACCUGUAUCAAAUUCUACUUUAUUGUACUUAUUGAGGUACUUGAAGACCUGUAUCAAAUUCUACGUUAUUGUACUUAUUGAGGUACUUGAAGACCUGUAUCAAAUUCUACGUUAUUGUACUUAUUGAGGUACUUGAAGACCUGUAUCAAAUUCUACUUUAUUGUACUUAUUGAGGUACUUGAAGACCUGUAUCAAAUUCUACUUUAUUGUACUUAUUGAGGUACUUGAAGACCUGUAUCAAAUUCUACGUUAUUGUACUUAUUGAGGUACUUGAAGACCUGUAUCAAAUUCUACUUUAUUGUACUUAUUGAGGUACUUGAAGACCUGUAUCAAAUUCUAAGUUAUUGUACUUAUUGAGGUACUUGAAGACCUGUAUCAAAUUCUACGUUAUUGUACUUAUUGAGGUACUUGAAGACCUGUAUCAAAUUCUAAGUUAUUGUACUUAUUGAGGUACUUGAAGACCUGUAUCAAAUUCUACGUUAUUGUACUUAUUGAGGUACUUGAAG